AAAUUUUUGAGAGCAAACUAUAAAGAUUCCUGCACCACUGACCCUUGUCUCAUACAGUCGGCAUCUUCCUUCACCCUCAAGCCCUCAAGCCCAACACUUGAAAACUGCAGUUCUGUAGUCAAAAUCCAAAGCUUUUCAGGUUUUUUUAAAUACUUCAAGAUUGCAACCUAUUGAAAGUCAAUGAUGAUAUUAAGAAGGAAGGCAAAUGUUGAAUGAAAUUGUGCAGAACUGUAUCAAAAAGGGAUUAUUAGGUUUCAAGGAGACGGGGAGGAGUGGCCUUGCCACAUUCUGCUGGAUUGGUAUUGACAACCUUGCCCAGACUGUUGCAUCAUUGUGGACAACGUCAGACUAGCUCCACCAGGGACCCUGAUAGCUCACUGUGUGAACUCUGCUAAGAGGACAGAAAUAGGAAGCAGGAAGGGAAACCGAGUCCCAGCUGAAAAAAAAAAAUGAUUAUGCUGGUAAAUUGAGAUAAACAAGACCAUAGAAACAUUGCAAUAUAAGCUUUAAAAUGGAUGAAACACACCGGGUCAUUCCCUGGAACCCCGUCGGGAGCAACCAGUCCCGGGUAAAGGGCCUGAACCAAGGGCACACAGAGCAACCAUGGGACGGCAAGAGAAUCUGGAGUUCACCGGAGAGAAAGUUAGAAAGUAACCACAAAAAAAUGU